ACCUGCCCCAUGAUUAAUUAUUAAAUGGCUGCGGUAAUUUGACCGUACAAAGGUAGCAUAAUCAUUAGUUUUUUAAUUGGGAACUGGUAUGAAAGGUCGAACGAAAAAAAAACUGUCUCAAUUUAAUUUAUAUUAGAAUUUUAUUUUUAAGUAAAAAAGCUUAAAUAAUUUUAAAAGACGAGAAGACCCUAUAGAGUUUUAUAUUUUAAUAUUUAUAUAAACAAAUUAAAGAAUUUUUAUUUUUUAUACUUAUUAAAAUAUUUAAUUGGGGCGAUUAAAAAAUUAAAAUAACUUUUUUUAAAUUAAAACAUUAAUUUAUGAAUAAUUGAUCCAUAUUUAAUGAUUAUAAGAUUAAAUUA
rnacentral:rRNA from 1 species